GGAGAGGUGGUUGCUGGGAGAGCUGUUCCGGCGCUCACGUUCCAAUUCCAAAUUACAAAUUCCGAUCUAGAGCUCCCACGCUUGGGGGCUGUGGAGCGCUCGCCAGCCGCUCCCCGUUUGCUGCUGGGUCUUACGAAGUUCUCAUAUCCAUCAUACAGUUUCUUUGUCACACUGUCCGCGGCACGCCAGUCCCUAUGACAGAAAGCACCUGCGGUCUGUCUGGAGGCGGAGUUGGUGGCGGAGAGAAAAAGUUCUGGAGACACCUGGUUGGGAGCAGGCUAAGGAAACAAAUGGGGAGGAAUUAGCCACAAAUCCUCAAAUAGACAGCUACUCAAAGGCAUCUUCACGGACAAUUUCCAAGCAUUGGAUGCAGUGGUGCAUUCUUGCAUUGGGCAGUGAUUGUGUGCACACAUCUCUUUAAGGGAGAGUGGAAAUGGGGUGAGGAGGAAAAUGGGAGUAGGAUAGAGUGUAGCGUUGACAUUUAUUUUCUUUAAAGGAAGACCCGAGCAUACCUGAGAGCUCAGUGAAGAAAGUAGUUCUGGCGAAUCGGAUUAAUAUGCACCACUGAAACUUGACCUUCGGCCGGCGCGGUGGCUCACGCCUGUAAUCCCAGCACUUUGGGAGGCCGAGAUGGGCGGAUCACGAGGUCAGAAGAUCGAGACCAUCCUGGCUAACACGGUGAAACCCCGUCUCUACUAAAAAUACAAAAAAAUUAGCCGAGCGUGGUGGCGGGCUCCUGUAGUCCCAGCUACUUGGGAGGCUGAGGCAGGAGAAUGGCGUGAACCCGGGAGGCGGAGCUUGCGGUAAGCCGAGAUCGCGCCACUGCACUCCAGCCUGGGCGACUGAGCACGACUCCGUCUCAAAAAAAAAAAAAAAAAAACAAAAAAAAAACUUGACCUUCAUUAUAUCUCACUGCCCUCAUCCCAAACAUUUCCUCUCCCAGUUUUCCAGGAAACGGCAUCGCUGCCCAUCUCUUUUCAGGCCCCAACCCUGGAGAAGAACCUAAAUUUCUCAUUUCCUCACUACCUACCUCCAGUCCUUCAGCAGGUCCCGUUGGUUGGGCUGCUAAACUAUGGGCUAAAUCCUUUCAGUACUUUCCAUGCCCACAGCUACCACUCUGGUCCAAGCCAAAUUCUUAGUUCCCCUGGACUUCUUACUGCAGUAGCCUCUCAGCUUCCACUCUUGGCAAAAUCAAUUUUAUAAAACCUUGAAAUCCCUUAAUACCACUCGUCUGCUUAAACCUCGGCAUCCCACAUUUACCACUAUCAGGAAGGAUCACGUUUGUUUGUUUGCUGUCUCAUUCCCCCAUUUAUAUGUGAAUUCCACGGGUAAGGGCCUGCUCCUACAUCCCACACCUCUACAUCCACAGAGCCUAGAGACCGCAGGCGCGGGGAAAGCACUCCACGACCAUCACUGGCCAGGCCACAAGAGUGCUGGAUCUAAAUUUGGAACCGGACUUUCAGAGCUGAAAUAAACCUGAGGUUUUCCAGGGGCUUUUAACCUCCUUUUACAGCCAAGGAUGCGCCUAAGAAAGGGGAGAGGCUUCCGUGACUUCCUGCAGUAACGCAGCCACUAGAGAUUGAGACUACAACGACUUGGGAGUCUAAAAGUCUGCAACCUUUUCCACUCCAGAGCUCAAUGUUUCCUCAAUCCCCCGGGAUCGGCAUCAGCAAAAACCCGGAGAAGCGGAGCCUUUCUCAAAGAAAAUGACCUCCAGACUCAUGCUACCAUCUCGACCGGUGCAAGUAUCACGCAUGCGCAGGGCCGGCCGCCCGGCCGCACCUCGCCAACUCCUACUCGGACACGUCAUCUAGGUCGGCCUGGGUCUGGUGGGAGGGGCCGGGGGCGGGGCUCGUACGCGGGGCGAAGUGGUCCCCCUACUUCCGGAUCCGGCCUCACCUGGCCAACGCCUCAUUCGGGGUUCCUUGGUUACGUGGCUGCGGUGUCUACCCGGUGCUGGGGCGUGGCGGAGAGAGACCGCCCCGCCCUCCACGCAGGCCACAAAAUGGAGGCCCUGCCCUGUGGGCUUUUGUGGCCUGGGCGCUGUCGUGCCGAAAGACGAAAGUGACAAUUCCAGUUGCAAACUGGAAAGAAAUGGAGUUUUUCCUUCAUUCUCCCCAUGAUCGUGACGGUCCUUUUCUCAAAGUACUAAUACUUUUAAUGGGACUGUAAAACUUGAGGGAUAUGACUCUCUCCUCUCCUCUGCUUCAGAUUGCAUUUGCCAACUCUGAUUUACCGCCAAUACUAUGGUGCUGUCAUAUUCAUAGAGACAGAAAGUAGAGCAGUGGUUGUAGAGAGAGUCUGCAGAAGGAGGGAUGGGGAUUUACUGUUUAAUGGCAUACGGUUUCAGUAUGGGUUGGUGAAAAAGUUGGGAUGAAUGGUGAUGACUGCACAACAAUGCAAAUAUGCUAAUGUCACAGAAGUGUACACUUAAAAAUGGUUAGACGGUAAGUUUUCUAUUAUGUAUAUUUUACCACAAUUUUUUUUUAAAUGCAACAGAGUCUCGCUGUUGCCUAGGCUGGAGUGCAGUGGCAGGAUCUCAGCUCACUGCAACCUCCGCCUUCCAGGUUCAAGCGAUUCUUGUGCCUCAGCCUCCCAAGUAACUGGGAUUACAGGUGCCAGCCACCACGCCCAGCUAAUUUUUGUAUGUUUAGUAGAGAUGGGGUUUCACCAUGUUGGCCAGGCUAGGCUGUUCUCGAACUCCUGAACUCAGGUGAUCCGCCUGCCUUGGUCUCCCCCAGUGCCGAGAUUACACGCGUGAGCCACCACGCCGGGCCCCACAGUUUUUUGUUUUUGUCUUUUAAAUUUUUUUUAACAGCAUUUGUGUCUUUUUUUCUUUUUCUUUUGUUUUUGAAACAGAAUCUCACUCUGUCACCAAGCUGGAGUGCAGUGGCGCCAUCUUGGCUCACUGCAACCUCUGACUCCCUGGUUCAAGCAAUUCUCCUGCCUCAGCCUCUCCAGUAGCUGGGGUUACAGGCACGCACCACCCCGCCCAGCUAAUUUUUGUAUUUUUAGUAGAGAUGGGGUUUCACCAUAUUGGCCAGGGUGGUCUCCAUCUCCUGACCCCGUGAUCCACCUUGCCUUCCCAAAGUGCUGGGAUUACAGGUGUGAGCCACUGCACCCAACCUAAAUGGCAUUUGUUUCUUCCACUCCUCUCUGCCAGAAUAAUUUGGACAGCCUUUUCUGAGUUUCCCAUGACGACUUCUGUAUAAGAUUGUCGGAUAUAGCAAAUAAAAGUACAGUAUACCCAGGUAAAUUUUAAUUUCAGAUGAUCAAUGAAUAAUUUUUUAGUAUAAGUACAUUCCAACUAUUACAUGGGACAUAAGGGUAUUUUAUCUGAUCACCCUACUUUUGUGUCAAGUUAAAAUUAUUAGCAAAAGUGCUUCCGUUUUUAGGAAGUGCACACUGUACUCUAGUAGUUAGGCAGGAGAACAGGGUCUGCGAGCAGGGAACCUAAGGCCGUUUCACACUGACUUCCUAGAGCCAUUUGGAAAGGAAAACCCUAACUUUCCACUCCUAAGUAACAAAAGGCCCAGAGGCCACUCCCUUUGCAAACCCCCACCUUUUCUGUGCCGCAGCUGGAAAAUUGAAAGUGCCUCUGAUUGGUUGCUUUCUGCAACUAAUCAGAUGUUUGCAUAGAGUGUAACUUUGUAACUUCACUUCAGCCUCUGAUUGGUUGCUGUCCCCAACCAAUCAGACUGAUUGUGGGCCAAGGCUUCGUUUGAAUAGAAGUGCAACUUUGUAACUUCACUUUAGCCUCUGAUUGCAGGCCACCACUUCAUUUACAUGGGGUGAGCACCAAUGCGUUUUGUUCAAUUCUUUGUUCAAAACCCCAAGAAUCUGGACAACUUGCACUCAAGACCCUCUACGGGUUUGGCGAGCCAGGUAGGAGGAAGCCCAAAGUAUGGGAUUUAUUUUUCUCCUUUCUUCUUUUCCUCUCUGCUACAUACAGGGGAAUCUUUCUCUCUUUCUUUUCCUUUCCAACUCGGGACUCUUGGUGAACAGUGCCUAAGCAUAGUGACAACUGCAAGUUUCUGGCCAGAGCCUCUCUCUGGUGAAACUGAAAGGCUUCCAUGUGGAAGCGUCUGAGUAACACCACUGGGUUUGGGUGAGGGACCUGAGUCCUUUUCCUUGUUUUUGUUUUUCUGAGUCCUAUUCCUUUUUUCCUUUUUCUGAGUUAUUUCCCUUUUUUUCUUUUCCAGUCUUUCAGUGGCUGUUUUCUAGUAGCUCCUUGGCAAUUGAGGGGAACUGGCUGGGACCACUCUCCAGUGCUGUCUGAAGGCCAAGGAGUGAACAGGGAUGGCUGCCCUGCCUUGAAGAGGGAAGGACUCUUUUCUAUCCUUUCCAGCUAUAGUCCCUGAUCCCUACAUGUGAUGCGGUUGGCAGCGGAAGCUCAUCCUGGGCGAACUCACACACUUUUCAGGAGACUUAAACCUUUUCUUAUGCUAAGUUCUUCCCUUCCCCUACUCAUCUGGCUAAAGGACAGACUAUGCAAAAAAGGUUAUACAAGUCAGAGGGUCUGAGCAUGUCGGAGGUGGUCUGUGUGGGGCAUGGGGUGGGGGGAAAAUUCAUGAAAGGCAAUUUAUUGCCUAAAUUUAAAGGGUUAAAGGGUUGCUUUAAGUGGGAUAGAAAAACCUUAAGGAAAGUUCAUAGUAGGUCCUCAGUGGUGGAGUGUUGUGGGAAGUCAGGGACCCUGAAUGAAGGGACUGGCUGAAGCCAUGGCAGAAGAACAUAAACUGUGAAGAUUUCAUGGACAUUUAUUAGUUCCCCAAAUUAACACUUUUAUAAUUUCUUACGCCUGUCUUUACUGCAAUCUCUGAACAUAAAUUGUGAAGAUUUUAUGGACAUUUAUCACUUCCCCAAUCAAUACUCUUGUGAUUUCCUAUGCCUGUCUUUACUUUAAUCUCUUAAUCCCGUCAUCUUCGUAAGCUGAGGAGGAUGUAAGUCGCCUCAGGACCCUGUGAUGAUUGUGUUAACUGCACAAAUUGUUUGUAGAGCAUGUGUGUUUGAACAGUAUCAAAUCUGGGCACCUUAAGAACAGGAUAACAGCAACGUUCAAGGAACAAGGGAGAUAAUCUUAACGUCUGGCUGCCUAUGGGCCGGGCAGAACAGAGCCAUAUUUCUCUUCUUUCUAAAGCAAAUAGGAGAAAUAUCGCUGAAUUCUUUUUCUCAGCAAGGAACAGCCCUGAGACAGAGAAUGUGUGCCUAGGGGUAGUCCUCCAAAAUGGCCACUCUGGGGACGGCUGUCUUUUAUGGUCGUAGAUAAGGGAAGAAAUAAGCCCCGGACUCCCAUAGUGCUCCCAGGCUUAUUAGGACGAGGAAAUUCCCACCUAAUAAAUUUUGGUCAGACUGGUUGUCUGCUCUCAAACCCUGUCUCCUGAUAAGAUGUUAUCAAUGACAAUGCGUGCCCGAAACUUCACUCGCAAUUUUAAUUUCGCCCUGGUCAUGUGGUCCCGUGAUCUCACCCUGCCUCCAUUUGCCUUGUGAUAUUUUAUUACCUUGUGAAGCAUGUGAUCUCUGUGACCCACACCCUAUUCAUACACUCCCUCCCCUUUUGGAAAUCACUAAUAAAAACUUGCUGGUUUUACGGCUUAGGGGGCAUCACAGAACCUGCCGACAUAUGAUGUCUCCCCUGGACACCCAGCUUUAAAAUUUCUCUCUUUGUACUCUUUCCCUUUAUUUCUCAGACCAGCCAACACUUAGGGAAAAUAGAAAAGGACCCACGUGAAAUAUCAGGGGCUGAAUUUCCCCCGAUAGUGGAGGGAACCAUCCCAAAGCAGUGCCAGCCCCCAUCUAAGGUCAGAGACAUCUGACAGACUAAAUCAGGGCCCUAAAGUAGGGACGCCCCUGGGGACCCCAGUCUGGGUUCAGAAUUUUUUCAGGGGGAUGCCCUGGGUAAAGUUUGGGUCACCUAAUGGGCCCUCUACUUUUCAAAGUCCUCUUCUCUGUUCCAGACCACUAUGGGCAACUCUCUAUCUAUUCGACCUGAUUCCACUAUGGGCAAUUCUACACCUGUUCCACCGGAUUCCUCACUUGGCUACAUCAUCCACCAUUGGAAUCAAUUUGACCCUGACACUCUAAAGGGAAAAUGUAUAAUUUUUUUCUGUAAUACUGUUUGGCCCCAUUAUGAGCUGCCCAGCCCCCAGCAAUGGGCAGUCAGUGGUAGCCUUAAUUAUGACACCAUCCUGCAAUUAGACCUACUUUGCAAGAGGCUGGGAAGAUGGUCAGAAGUCCCAUAUGUACAGGCUUUUAUCAAAAUAUCAAAAACCUAACAAUCUGUGAAACUCCCAGAACCCACCCCCCAAAGGAAAGUACUAAGGCAGAACUAGAUAUUAUAGAUGACCCUCUUUUACAAGGGCUAGCUGUCUCUCAGGGUGAACAGCAACCAUCCCCAUAAAGCCCCUUGCCAAGUGCUCCUGAGGCUAAAACCCAGGAGCAAACACCAGGGACCCUACUAAAUCCCCCUCACACUUGGAGAGGAAUGCCAUAUUCAAUUCUCUCUCCAGCCCUGCUACCUCUUAGGGAAGUAGCAGGAACCAAGGGGCCAGUCCUAGUGCAGGCCCCCUUCUCUAUAAUUUAUACAUACAAUAUAAGGAAAAGCUAGGAAACUAUUCUGAGAAUCCUAAGAAACUUGCAGAUGGGUUCCAGCGUUUGACCUUAGCCUCUGAUCUAUCAUGGAGAGAUGUUCAAUUCAUUCUAGCAACCUGUUACACACCCUCAGAAAAGGAAUGAAUCUCUGAGGCCGCCCACCUGCAAGCAAUGAAUUAUUUGCCCAAAACUCUCAGGGCAAUCAUCCCGGCCCAGACACAGUUCCCACUAUUGAUCAUAAUUGGGACUAUAACACUCCUGAGGAAAUGAACAACCGGGCUAAAUUUCUUGAGGCUCUCCUUGGAGGAAUGAGAAAGGGAAUAACUAAAGGCAGUAAAUUAUGAUAAAGUAAGGGAGGUUACACAAGGCAAGGAGGAAAAUCCAGCCAUGUUUUAUGGCAGGCUGGAGGGAGACUUUAAAAAAUAUACUAAUCUGGACCCUUCCUCUCCCGAAGGCAAAAUAUUAAUAGCACAGCAUUUCAUUAGCCAAUCUGCCCCAGACAUUAGAGAUAAGCUCCAAAAGCUACAGAUGGGGCCACAAACUAAUCAAAAUCAGCUUACUUAUAUCACAUUUAUGGUGUAUAACAAUCGUGACCUGAAGGAAGGAAAAAGGGAACAGAGUAAACAAAAUGGCAAGCCAAAAGUAUGGCAGCCAUCAUUGACGAUGCCCUGAAUGUACAAAGAGUGUCUAAGGGAAACCCGAAGGGCCAUAAAGAUAAUGCCAGCAAAGGCUCUUGCUUCAAAUGCAAGAAAAGAAGACAUUGGGCAAAGGAUUGUGCUAAGUCCCCGCCAGGCCCCUGCCGUCAAUGCAAGGGCACCAGUCAUGACCCCUGGCACUGGAGAAUUGACUGCCCAUGUUCCCACUGAGGGGCUCAGUCAGUCAAAACUCUAGCAGUGCAAAAGGAGGAAUUAGAUGAAGACUGAAGGGGCCUGAGGUCUUCCUCACUGCCCCUGUUCAGGAACAUUGUAAUUACUACUGAGGAGCCCCAGGUAACUCUGGACGUCAUGGGCACCCAAAUUCAGUUUCUUUUUGAUGCAGGAGCAAAUUACUCUGUUCUUACUGCUUAUGCAGUAAGGCGUUCCUCCCAGUCCACAAGUGUUAUGGGAAUAGAAUGGAAGCCACAAACGAGUUUUUAUUUUAUUUUAUUUUAUUUUAUUUUACUUUAAGUUCUGGGAUACAUAUGCAGAAUGUGCAGGUUUGUUACAUAGGUAUACAUGUGCCAUGGUGGUUUGCUGCACCUAUCGACCCAUCAUCUAGGUUUUAAGUCCCACAUGGAUUAGGUAUUUGUCCUAAUGCUCUUCCUCCCCUUGCCCCCAACCCCCCAACAGGCCUUGGUGUGUGAUGUUCCCCUCCCUGUGUCCAUGUGUUCUCAUUGUUCACCUCCCACUUAUUAGUGAGAACAUGCGGUGUUUGGUUUUCUGUUCCUGUGUUAGUUUGCUGAGAAUGAUGGUUUCCAGCUUCAUCCAUGUUCCUGCAAAGGACAUGAACUCAUUCUUUUUUAUGGUUGCGUAGUAUUCCAUGGUGUAUAUGUGCCAUAUUUUCUUUAUCCCGUCUAUCACUGAUGGGCAUUUGGGUUGGUUCCAAGUCUUUGCCAUGGUAAAUAGUGUUGCAGUAAACAUACAUGUGCAUGUAUCUUUAUAAUAGAAUGAUUUAUAAUCCUUUGGGUAUAUAUCCAGUAAUGGGAUUGCUGGGUCAAAUGGUAUUUCUGGUUCUAGAUCCCUGAGGAAUCACCACACUGUCUUCCACAAUGGUUGAACUAAUUUACACUCCCACCAACAGUGUAAAAAUGUUCCUACUUCUCCACAGCCUCACCAGCCUGUUUCCUGACUUUUUAAUGAUCACCAUUCUAACUGGUGUGAGAUGGUAUCUCACUGUGAUUUUGAUUUGCAUUUCUCUAACAACAAGUGAUGAGCAUUUUUUCAUAUGUUUGUUGGCUGCAUAAAUGUCUUCUUUUGAGAAGUGUCUGUUCAUAUCCUUUGCCUACUUUUUGAUGGGGUUGACAAACAAGAUUCAUUACUCCUCCUUUGAUUUGUCAAUUUGAGAAACAACUCUUCCAACAGGAUUUCCUAGUAGUACCAAGCUGCCCAAUCCCCCUGUUGGGAAGAGAUAUUAUGGUUAAAAUGGAGGCACUACUACAAUUUAAGCAUCACCCAUUGAAAUUGCUGAUAGUCAAAAAUACAGUGUUCCAGACCACAUUAAUAAAUAGGUUAACCCGCUGGCAUUGGUAUACUGGAAAACCAGGGAAGGCUAAAACAGCAGUGCCAGUCAAAAUACAUUUUAAAGACCUCAGCUAGUUUCCCAAUUGAAAAUAAUAUCCAAUUAAGCAGGAAGCAAGAAAAGGCCUAGCACCCAUAAUUGAGGUAUUACUUAUUACAUGGGCUCUUAAAAUCCUGUAAUUCCCCUUGCAAUACCUGUUCUAAAGCCUUUGGGGGAAUACCAGUUAGUAUAGGACUGGAGAAUACCGGUUAGUAUAGGACCUGAGAAUAAUUAAUGAGGCUGUUAUCCCCGUCCACCCACUGGUGGCAGAUCCAUAUACCCUUAUGGCUCAGGUACAAGGGGAUGCAAAAUGGUUCUCAGUCCUGGACCUAAAAGAUGCUUUCUUCUCCAUCCCUCUGGCCCCAGAGUCCCAAUACCUUUUUGCCUUUGAAUGGGAAAAUCAAUAUGAGGGAAAAACAGUAAUAUACCUGGACAGUGCACCCUUAGGGCAUUCAGGAUAGCCCCCAUUGGAUUGCCCGAGCCUUAGAGAGGGAUCUGAAGGAUCUGAAAGUGAAAAAUGGGAAUAUACUCCAGUAUGUGGAUGACUUUCUUGUGUGUAGCCCAAACCCAGGAGGUUUCUGACCAAACUACUAUAAAAACUUUGAAUUUCCUGGCAGACAGGGGAUACAAAGUGUCCGACAAGAAGGCACAGAUUAUCCUCCAAUGGGUGCAAUAUUUAGGGUAUGUCUUAACACCCAGAGCCUGACAAAUAUCCCCAGAACGAGAGCAAGCCAUAGGUGGUUUGCCCCCUGCCCCCUCCCCAACCCCCCCACCUGCCACACCUAGUAGCAGCUUUGUUCUUUUUUGGGAAUGGCCAGGUUUUGCAGAAUAUGGGUACCAAAUUUCAGACUCAUAGCAAAGCCCCUAUAUGAAGCAACAAAGGGGCCUGAAGACGAGCUAAAGGAAUGAACCCCAGAAUUGAGAAAAGCCUUUGCCAAGUUAAAACAGGCUCUCGCUCUUGGCAUCCCAGACCUACCUAAGCCCUUCUCUUUGUACGUAGCAGAGAAGAAGGGCAUAGCUGUGGGUGUACUAGCCCAGACAUUAGGAUCAGAACCCAGACUAACCACUGACUUUCCAAAGAAGUUGGAUGGAGUGGCCUCGAGGUGACCAAGUUGCCUGCGGCCAACAGCAGCCACUGCUAUGUUAGUGGAGGAAGCCACUGAAAUCGCUCUGAGCCAACCACUGGAAGUUCUCACCCCCUCAUCAGGUUAAGUCUGUCUUAGAGAUAAAGGGACACAUCUGGAUGACAGGGGAAAGAUGAACCAAAUACCAGGCCAUGUUCCUAGACAAUCCAGAUGUAACCCUUAAAACCUGCAACACUUUGAAUCCAGCUUCAGUGCUGCCCACAGGCCCAAUAACUGAUCAUUCCUGCAAGCAGGUCAUUGCACAUACACAAUGUUAGCCAGCCUGCUUUAAAAGACAAGCCUCUCCCAGAUUCUGAGGAUGAGUGGUUCACAGAUGGCAGUAGUUUUGUGUCAAAUGGGGUUUGACACAGCACUGAGCUGGAUAUGCAGUAGUAAUUAUCGAAGCCCAGCCACUGCUCCUUGGCACAUCAGCACAAAAGGCUGAAAUCAUUGCUCUUACUUGAGCAUUAAUGUUGGUACAAGGAAAAAAGCUUAACAUCUAUAUCGAUUCUAAAUAUGCAUUCCUUGUGGUUCAUGUUCAUGCUACAGUCUGGAAAGAAAAGGGAUUUCUAACUAGAAAACAGUCCUCUAUAAAGCCUGGGCCUGAAAUUCUUCAGCUAUUGGAAGCAAUACACUUGCCAAAGGCCGUAGCUCUAAUUAAUUGUUGGGGUAUCAAAGGGACUUAACCCCUAUAGCACAAGGGAACAGAAAGGCUGAUAAAGAACCAAAGCCGCAUCCCUCAGGGUGCCAUCCCAACAGACCCUAGCCCUACUUCCUUUCUAUGAUUUCCCAACAGAACCUGAGUACACAGUACAGAAAGAACAGUUAAUAGAGGAACAAGGGGGACACAAAAAAAGGAUCCUGGUGGCAUAUGGGGUCAAAAACAUAUCUCCCUCAGACAGCCCAGUGGAAAGUUAUAAAAGCCGUGCAUGCCUCUUUCCAUGUGGGGAGGGAUGCAACUCUGGCCAUUUAAACCAGCUCUUUACUGGGUCUAACUUAGCUUCAGUGGCUAAGCAGGUUUGCUAGGCCUGCUCCCUGUGUGCACUUAACAACCUAGGAAACAACAUGCCUCCUCUAAUAGAACCAGUGCAGAGGAGAGGAACUUAUCCAGGGGGAGACUGGCAAUUAGACUUCACCCAUAUGCCAGCUUGCAGAGGACAUGAGUUUUUGUUAGUACUAAUAGAUAUCUUUACUGGUUGGGUCGAAGUUUAUCCUACCAGAACAGAGAAGGUUAAUGAGGCUAUAAAGGUUCUCUUAAAAGAAAUAAUCCCCGGGUUUGGGUUACCUCAGAGCCUCCAAAUUGAUAAUGGCCCGUCCUUUAUCUCCCAGCUAACUCAAGGGGUUGCUAAGUCUCCUGGAAUCAAGUACUAUCUACAUUCAGCAUGAAGGCCUCGAUCCUUGGGGAAAGUAGAAAGGGCUAACCAAACUUUAAAACGAGUGUUAGCUAAGCUAUGUAAGGAAACAUCAGAAACUUGGGUCAGCUUACUGCCCAUAGCCCUCUUAAGGACCCAUAAUACCCCUACAGCAAAAAUUAAUAUAAACCCAUAUGAAAUAUUAUGUGGAAGGCCAUUCUUAACUAAUGAUUUAAUUACUGAUCCAGAAACAGUUGGUUUAGUAAAAUACCUAGUCAAUCUAGGACAGUUUCAACAGGCUUUACAAACGUUUGGAAUGCAAAGUCUCCCCACACUGGGAACAAUCAGCAACUUAAAAUCAGGUCAGGAAAUAAGGUACUUCUUAAAACAUGGAAAGAGGGAUCACCUGCUCAACAAUUACAACCCAAACGGAAGGGACUGUUUUCAGUGGCACUGGCCAUGCCUUCUGCAGUGAAAGUACUAGGAUUAGAUAGCUGGAUACAUCUUUCAAGGAUCAAGAGAGUGAUACCAGAAGCCCUGGACCAGGAACCCGAAGUUGCCAUCUGCCUCUACACCUGUGAACCUGUGGAAGACUUCAUGAAGUACCUGUUUAGAAGACAGUCAAAAGAAAAGUAAAUGCCUACCAAUUUUCCUUGGUGUCUUUGUUGCAUAGUUACUAUAGGCUGGAUAAUAGUGCCAUUUUUAAAAAUGUUUUAUUUUUGCAGUUUCAUUGCCUUCUUCCAAAUGGAUGGAAUCACUUCCUUUGUAGUAAUUAAGCAGAAUGUUUUAAUACAUUUCUAUAACAAACAUUCCUGACGGCAUAGGUAUCCACCCCCAAAGUUCCCAUUAAAUCUUUUAACCAAAUUCAUUUCCUGUUGCACAGAGACCAUCAAGCUUCAGAUGAUCAUGUGACAGGGUUUCCAGCCAGUUCCAGGUGAAGACACCACCCCUGGCCAUCAAGAAGUCACCCGGUCUCCACUAGACAGAGUAGGGUGAGAGUUCCGUGAUCUCCAACCGGUAGUGAUUAUGCCCCAAGUCAGCAUAAAGAAGUUACGGAAGAAAAACCAUCAGUCCCUCUGUCUCACAUAAAGACUUAUGGGGAUCACGUUUCUCAGAGGGGAGAUGAGGCAGGAGAAUAGGGUCUGGAGGCAGGGAACCUAAGGCCGUUUCACACUGACUUCUUAGAACUAAAUUGAAAGGAAAACCCUAAUUUUCCAUGCCUAAGUAACAAAAGGACCAGAGGCUACUCCCUUUGCAAACCCCCACCUUUUCUGUGUGGCAUAUGGGAAAUUGAAAGUACCUCUGAUUGAUUGUUUUCUGCAACCAAUCAGAUGUUUGCAUUGGAGUGUAACUUUGUAAUUUCACUUCAGUCUCUGAUUGGUUGCUGCAGUCUGGAAAUUCUGCAGGCCAAGUCUUCGUUUGCAUAGAAGUGCAACUUUGUAACUUCAUCUUAGCCUCUGAUUGGUUGCUUUCUGCAACCAAUCAGAUGUUUGCAUAGGCGUGUGACCUUUGUAACUUCACUUCAGCUUCUGAUUGGUUGCUUUCCACAACCAAUCAGACUGAUUGUGGGCCACCACUUCCUUUACGUGAGGUGAACACCAAGUGGCCAAUGGAAAACCUCAAGAGGGUAUUUGGACCUGAGAAGAUUCUGUAUCUGGGGCCCUUGAGCUGCUGCUCUGCCCACUCUCACAUGGUGGAGUGUAAUUUCACUUUGAAUAAAUCUCUGCUUUUGUUGCUUCAUUCUUUCCUUGCUUUGCUGUGUAUUUUGUCCAAUUCUUUGUUCAAAACGCCAAGAACCUGGACAACUUGCAGUCAAGACCCUCUACCAGUAACACUAGUUGUAUCCCUGUAAAUGAAUGGGCUUUGAAGAUUUUCUAGAAGAAAAAGAUCACCUCAUUGUCCUUCAUUUUUUGACAUAAAACUGUGAUAGCCCAAUAGAUAAAAUGUGAGUUAUCGAUCACCCCUGGAAAGGAUUAGGAUAUGCCACUCCAAAAUAUGCCACGUUUAUUUUGCACUGAAGGCAAUUGAGAAACAGUAGACACAGGAAGAGCUCUCUGCUUUUCCCCUUUUUACCUAAAAGCAGAGAAUAAAUUUCCUUUUGGAAAGAUGACAUACAUUUUCCUUUAUAAAGGUGUUCCCUUCUCCUCUACCAGGAAGAUCUGAGAUGGCACCAAAAUGAAUCUGCCUAACAAACCUUACUGCACAAUUCUUAGCUACCAUACAUUUCAUAGUCACCUUCCCAUAAUUUACUGCCCUUAGGAGCCCAAGUCCCUUUCCUUUGACUAUCACCUCUCCACAAUUUAUUGCCCUUUGUUAAAAUGAUAUAUAAGCUCCUUCAUUUAACUACAUCUUUGGGUUUUCACUUCUUAUCUUUGAUGCUACGAUGCAUGUAAAAAUAUUAAUAAAAUUUGUGUGCUUUUUCUCCUGUUAAUUGUAUGUCUUUUAUCAACUUAAAUUACAGGCCCCAAGUACAUAAUUAAGAGAGUAAAAGGCUGGGCACGGUGGCUGAUGCCUGUAGUCCCAGCACUUUGGGAGGCCAAGGCAGGCAGAUCACAAGGUCAGG
rnacentral:lncRNA from 1 species